GCGGGAGUGGCGAAAUUGGCAGACGCACUAGACUUAGGAUCUAGCGGAGAGAUCCGUAGGGGUUCAAGUCCCCUCUCCCGCA
rnacentral:tRNA from 1 species